rnacentral:rRNA from 1 species
CCUACGGGAGGCUGCAGUGGGGAAUAUUGGACAAUGGGGGCAACCCUGAUCCAGCCAUGCCGCGUGUGUGAAGAAGGCCCUCGGGUUGUAAAGCACUUUCAGUGAGGAAGAACGCCUGGUGGUUAAUACCCAUCAGGAAAGACAUCACUCACAGAAGAAGCACCGGCUAACUCCGUGCCAGCAGCCGCGGUAAUACGGAGGGUGCGAGCGUUAAUCGGAAUUACUGGGCGUAAAGCGCGCGUAGGUGGCUUGAUAAGCCGGUUGUGAAAGCCCCGGGCUCAACCUGGGAACGGCAUCCGGAACUGUCAAGCUAGAGUGCAGGAGAGGAAGGUAGAAUUCCAGGUGUAGCGGUGAAAUGCGUAGAGAUAGGGAGGAAUACCAGUGGCGAAGGCGGCCUUCUGGACUGAAACUGACACUGAGGUGCGAAAGCGUGGGUAGCAAACAGGAUUAGAUACCCGAGUAGUC